rnacentral:misc_RNA from 1 species
GCAAAUCUCAAUCUAUAAAUCCAUAAAAACCUAUACAUACAAAUUCAUAUAUAUUUAUAUAUAUACACUCAUCGUCUUCCAUUGAUCUAGGGUUUUACUGGAGUUUGUAUCGAUUGCAAUUAUUUAAGGAUCCGACUCUCGAUUUUUCAUCCUCUCUUGGCUCGAGAUCCGAGCCAAGGACGGAGGAAUUCAUUUGCUAGGCGGAGAUUUUCAAGCGUUUCGAACUGCUAUCUCUCUCUUCACUGUUGCCACUCGGUGCGGAGAGGUUCUGUGGAAUGGCGUCGAAUGAGGGAUUUUUGACUGAAGGACAGAGGGAGAUGCUGAAAUUCGCACCGCCGAGUGUGGAUGUUUUGUCAUCUUCUCCGAAGUCACCGACUCUGAAGUCUCCAGGUGCUGCUGCUAAAUCUGCGUCUGUGCUCUUGACGGAACAUCUCGUCAAGGCACCAGGCGGUGGAAAGGCAUCCACGGCUGGGAUUGCUAUGAGACAUGUACGAAGGACGCACUCAGGGAAGCAUAUCCGUGUUAAGAAGGAUGGAGCCGGCGGUAAAGGCACCUGGGGAAGAUGGCUAGAUACUGAUGGUGAAUCUCAUAUCGAUAAGAAUGAUCCCAACUAUGAUAGUGGUGAGGAGCCGUAUGAGCUUGUUGGAACUGCUGUCUCUGAUCCAUUAGACGACUACAAGAAAUCUGUAGCAUCAAUUAUUGAGGAAUACUUCAGCACUGGUGACGUUGAAGUGGCUACUUCUGAUCUCAAGGAAUUGGGUUCAGCCGAGUAUCACCCAUAUUUUAUUAAGAGGCUUGUUUCUAUGUCAAUGGAUAGGCAUGAUAAGGAGAAGGAAAUG